GAGGCAUAUCUCCGGGGUAUGCGCUCCGGUUUUCUGCGACCGUGUGGGCUCGGUGGGCGGGACCGGCAAAUCCAGGGACUCGCGAAACACGGUUCCGGACCAGUACUCUCUCCCUAUCUCGGGUUCCGGCCUUCGUCCCGCAGGACUCCUCACAUCUUAUGCCUGCUUAGCCCGCUAUCCUGUCCCACGCGCUUCUUCCCCUGGUAACAGUCCUGUGAGCUCUGCAGGCAAGGAGGGGCUAAUGAGCCCCAUUUCCGGCUGAGGAAACUCAAGCACCUUGCGAGGGACUGAACUGUGUUGUGUGUGUGUUUCUGGUAUCUGGUAUCUUCCUUUGGGUUUUUCCUCUAUAUUAAACAAUUGAAAAAAAGCUCUGUUCCCCCCCUCCCCAUCCCAUCUAAAACCCGUGCCUCCGAAACCCUCGUUCUGGGCAUCCGGGAAACCCCAUUUUGCUCCCAAAACGCUUGUCCCAUUCCACAGCAGGGCCCUCUCCACCGCCCAAGGAACAACAGGGAGCCAACUCCUUGAAGACAGUGAUUUAAUUUCCUCUCCAACAACAAAGCCCCCCAGGGCCAGAAGGCACCCCUGCCCUCCCCGAAUCAACCAGUUCUGCUCUGUGGAAUGGCAACGAAUAGCUGAAUGGUUACCUCAUUUAGAGCCUGUUUGCUUUUUUUUUUUUUUUUUUGCGGUAUGCGGACCUCUCACUGUUGUGGCCUCUCCCGUUGCGGAGCACAGGCUCCGGACGCGCAGGCUCAGCGGUCAUGGCUCACGGGCCCAGCCGCUCCGCGGCAUGUGGGAUCUUCCCGGACCGGGGCACGAACCCGUGUCCCCUGUAUCGGCAGGCGGAUUCUCAACCACUGCGCCACCAGGCUUAAAUAUUUAAGAAAUGUAUAAAUGGCUGAAAAUCUACAAAAGAACUCUAAAAAACUUCGGGAAAAUGCUAAUGAAACACGAGAAGAAAAAGGCAUUCCUGGAUGACUGAAAACAAGGAAGCAAUUUUCGACUUCCCCUUUACGUUCAGAAGCAUCAACAACAUACAAGUCUGUCCACACAGGCCUUGACUGCACAGCAAGCUUCAAAAAAUGUUUGUCACCAGAGCAAGAUAAUUUUUGCAACUUGUGAUAAUAAGAAGCUGGUUUGAUGAAAACCUUGCAGUUGUGAAAAAAAAUGAUUUUUUGAAAUUUGUGGUUGAUAAAAAUGGUUUCUCACAUAGUUGUUUACUGUAUCCCCGUUAUCUUGCCUUGGUUUCCAUGAUCUACCACCCAUAGCCCCCAAACCAAAUAUUUUAUUUAAGAUCUAAAUGUUUGUUUAUUUGCUUAUCUAAUUCUUGGCCAUAGACCCAAUUUCUGCAUCAUCCUGGUCAGGAUUCUGUGUGGAUCCUAGGCUUGCUUCCUGUAAGUUAUCUCUAACUUCCAAACAGCCUAUAAAAGCAAAAAGGUACGAUCCCUACCCUACCCAAGCACUCUCCUAUUUUUCAUGGCUGGAACACUGUAUUAUUUAUUCAAACCUGUGUCAUUCAUUUAUUCCAUUCGUUCAUUCAAAAACACUUAGCUGUUGCACAACCAGAACUGAACUAGGUCUAAUUUUAGUCUUUGCCCUUGAAGUUCUCAGAAUUUCAUUAGAGAUACCAACAGAUAACCAACUCAGGAAGGUGUAGAUUUCUGUGGUAAAUGCCGUAUUUUGUAAUGUGAACACAGAUGAGAUAUCAACACCCAGGAGGUGCGGGUGACUAAUCCGUGAGCAAGGCCCUCUAAAAUAUAUGGGGUUAUUUAAUCUGCACACUGACCUUAAAAGGAAAGGACUUUUAUUGUCGUGUUUAUCAGAUGAGGAAGCUGAGGCUUUGGGAGGUUCAGAACUUUCCAGGCCCCAGAUAACAGGCAGCGAGACAUGGCUUAGAGACCCAGUCCCUGUGCUCUUUAUCCUGCCAACCUGGAAGGAUGGAUCAUGCAAAGGAGGAGUUUUCUUCGCCCCCUCGGGGACUGGCAAGGGGACUCGCUGAGCUCCCAGCAAUGUCCGGCCCCCGGGGCGAGAGCUGGCGUCUGGAUAGGGGGACCAGAUCCACGCGAGGGCUCUCAGUCCUUCCGCCUCGUCUUUCCUUGGUUCUGCCCCCAGGCCUUCUGUUGACCUGGGUUUGCAACCUGAGACUCCUCAUUUCCAGAUCCGGACUACAAGGGUCUUCCUUUGGGGGCGCAGGUCCCUCGGAGGAAGGACCCGCCCCUGCUGUUAGCGGCCGCCCAGAAGAAAGCACGCCUUUUUUAUCCUGAAAUGAAAUUUGUCAUUAGUUAAAACGCUCGUCCGGGCUUCCCUGCUGGCGCAGUGGUUAAGAAUCCACCUGCCAAUGCAGGGGAAAGGGUUCAAGCCCUGGUCUGGGAAGAUCCCACAUGCCGCGGAGCAAGUAAGCCCGUGCGCCACAACUACUGAGCCUGCGCUCUAGAGCACUCAAGCCACAACUACUGAACCCACGUGCCACAACUACUGAAGCCCGCGCGCCUAGAGCCCGUGCUCUGCAACAAGGGAAGCCACCGCAAUGAGAAGCCCACGCACAGCACCACCCAAUGCAGCCAAAAAUAAAUAAUUUUAAAAAAACAACCGCUCCUCACGGACAGUAUUUAAACGAAGUGCUAACUGCAACACAAUCAGAACUAGAAGGAAAGUAAUUUACAACACCAUAGUGAGAACUUCGACAUGUCGCAGCCGGGGAAGAUCGCCCGGAAGGCGCAGGGGCGAGCCGAGCUGCAGGGGUCGGGGUGGGAGCUGGCAUUCCCGGGAAAGUCCGCGAAGGUUCCCCCGCAGAAGUACUCUGCUCGUUAGUGCAGUGCAGGGAAGUGAUGGCUCAGACCCUCAUUCACAGGCUCUCCACUUUCGGGAGGGUCGCGAGCUCCUCGCAACCAUGCACCCCAUCACUGUGAGCCCCCAAUCUCGCCCGCGGUGACCGGUGUGUCCCGGAGGAGCGGACCCGGCUGAGAGCACGGAGAUGGGGGGGCUUGGGCGUAGGAGGGUGCAGGCGCGGCUCCGGGUACAGUUGCCUCUGAGGGGCGAGGGAAGGGCGCUCGUGGAGCCCCAGAACUGACCGGGAGGAGGAAGCCCCUUUCCCGGGUCUCCGGAACCGGGAGAACGCCGCUCAGGCACAAAUCAGGUCCUGGGUUACACAUGCCAGCUUGGGCGCACCUGUUUAGAAAACGCAUUUUGAGCUCCAUUCGAGUAAGACACACCAGAGCCCAUUCAUUCAUGAUUUGGGCAUUGUCUGAAUGUUAUCUUUAUAUUGUGAAAAUAGUACCUGCUCAUUGUUAAACAGUUCAAAAGCAUAGAAAGAGGUAAAAGUCACCCGUAAUCAAUCCCUACACCCUUAGAAGAUCACUGUAAAUAUUUUGGAAUUCACCCUUUGAAACUUUUUUCCUAAGCAUAUUUCCUAGGUAGUAUAUACACACAACACGUAACACAGUGGUAUUAAACCAUAGCAUGCUUUUCUAACCGGCUUUCCCCCCACCACACACUUAAUAUAUUAUGGUCUAUUUUCCAUGUUGAUGUAGAUUUACACAUUCUAUUUUUUAUAUAUACAGUAUAUUUGUAUGUUUUUAUAGGUGUGUGAUGACCAAAACAUGAGUGUAAGAUUUAUGUAGUAUUAUUUUUGGUAAACAUACUGGAAAUACGUGGGUGCCCCACAAGACUCUUUUACGAAAACUUUAUGGUUUGUGUAUCAUUUUAAAAUAUCUUCACAGACCUAUGGCUCAGCUUAUCCCAAUGAUCAUAAUUAUCUUUUCACGAAUAAUCUGCCAUCCACUCUAGCAGUGGGUGUCUUCUCUGUGUGGCCUCUUUCCACCUUCUAUAACAUCACCCGAGACAGGCUAAUAGUGGCUCCCUCUCUUUUUUUUUAAUUAAUUAAUUUUAUUUAUUUAUUUUUGGAUCUGUUGGGUCUUCAUUGCUGUGCGCGGGCUUUCUCUAGUUGCGGCAAGCGGGAGCUACUCUUCCUUGCGCUGCACAGGCUUCUCAUUUCGGUGGCUUCCCUUGUUGCGGAGCAUGGGCUCUAGGCUCAUGGGCUUUGGUAGUUGCAGCACACGGGCUCAGUAGUUGUGGCACAUGGGCUUAGUUGCUCCGCGGCAUGUGGGAUCUUCCCGGACCAGGGAUCAAACCCGUGUUCCCUGCAUUGGCAGGCAGAUUCUUUUUUUUUUUUUUGGCAGGCAGAUUCUUAACCACUGCACCACCAGCGAAGUCCCUCAACUCUGAAAUAUUUUUGCCUCUAGUUGUCCCAUGCAGACUAUUCAUAAAAUCUACUUCUUCAGUAACUACAAACUCUGCUUUGGUUUCUUGAAUAAACAGCAACAACUGAACAGUAUUGGUAACAUCUGUAGAUCCAUCAAGCCUAGGAAAACCACUCAAAACUGUUUACCAUGUUUUUUAAUUGAUGACUGAUGUUUCUCCCAAUGUUCUCAAGUCUUUGAGCAACCGUUCUCCCCAAAAGGCUAAUAGUCUUCAACAAAUUUUAGGUUUUGCAGACCAGGAGGCAGAAUCAAGUAAUUAUGUAGGUACUUACUUUCCACAUAUUUAUUUUUUUGUGAUGAAAAUAAAUUUAUUGAAUUUAUUUUUGGGGAAAAUGACCAUAUUUGUUAAAUGAGUGACCGCUGCUAUAGUUUACUCAUGUGUCAUUUGUGUACAAUCACCAAUUAGUGUGAAUGACAAGGUGUCCGAAUGACUUGGUUUCCUAUUAAUCCACUCACUAAGCCAACUUCAUGUUGAAGAAGAAAAAUCACCAAAAAUAGACCAAGAAAUGUCCACUGCUAGAGGGCUUUUUGUUUAUUUAAGUGUAAUCUUUCAAUGGAUUAGUAGUUCUCUAGCUUGGAGUCUCUAAUUUGAUAUAGCAACCAACUUAAUUUCUGUGCAGACCAUGAAUUAGCAAAUGUCUUCUAACCCGACAAUCACUUUAAAAGCAAACCCUUAGUUGAUCAUGAAAACACACCUUUAAACACAUGGCUCUAAACACCAUUGUUUUGCCCACUCUGAAAUGUAUUUUUUUCAUCCUGACACUGUCAUGUCAUAACUUUUAAAAUGAUAAUCUCAUUAUUGCUCAAUUGCACUGAUGCUUAGUAGGAGUAGCCUGUGGUCUAUUCUUCAUCAUGCAAGUUUAUAAAAAAGUAAGUUUGGAACUUCAAUCAUGGUCAGGGUCUUUCUUUCCCCCUCCACAAUUAAAUACAUCGGUAUUUUUGGAAGUACUGUCCAAAUUGUUUGACGUCCCCUCUGCAUUGACCCUGGAUAAGGAAGCGUGAAACUUGAUUGUUUUUCAGCAGAAGGACUUUAAUUGGUAAUUAUGGAGAGAUCAUUACUUCCUUUUCUCCUUGGACAGCUGACACAGGACAGGAAGGAAGGUUGGGGUUCCUUCUGAGACUCUAAAGAUCCUUUUCAAAAAGCCCAUUCCAUUCGCAUUUCUUAGCGAAUAAGCUCAUCCGGUCUCCACACUUUAUAAAGUUCUCCUUUACACACCCAUCUUAUCACCCGAGUCAUCCGGUAGAUUUAGGAUUCUUAUUCCCAAGCGGCUAGUAAGGCCUCAGGCCAGGUCUUUGGGUGCUGUCUGUUUUUUUCAUGAGAGUCACUUUGAUAGGAGAAAGGGAUUGGGGAAAGACACCUGAGUCUGGUGAGGCACAUUAAGGAUGCUGACCACACACCUCACCUGCUGUACUGAGACAGAGGGGACCUGGGAUCCUUUGCUGCAGUGCUUGCACCUGCAAACAUUUCCUCCGCAACAGAAUACAAAGAAACUAUAAGGAACUAAAAAUGACUGCAUGCAUGUGGCA